rnacentral:rRNA from 1 species
UAUACUGCAAGUCGAGCGGACCGACGGGAGCUUGCUCCCUUAGGUCAGCGGCGGACGGGUGAGUAACACGUGGGUAACCUGCCUGUAAGACUGGGAUAACUCCGGGAAACCGGGGCUAAUACCGGAUGCUUGAUUGAACCGCAUGGUUCAAUCAUAAAAGGUGGCUUUUAGCUACCACUUGCAGAUGGACCCGCGGCGCAUUAGCUAGUUGGUGAGGUAACGGCUCACCAAGGCGACGAUGCGUAGCCGACCUGAGAGGGUGAUCGGCCACACUGGGACUGAGACACGGCCCAGACUCCUACGGGAGGCAGCAGUAGGGAAUCUUCCGCAAUGGACGAAAGUCUGACGGAGCAACGCCGCGUGAGUGAUGAAGGUUUUCGGAUCGUAAAACUCUGUUGUUAGGGAAGAACAAGUACCGUUCGAAUAGGGCGGUACCUUGACGGUACCUAACCAGAAAGCCACGGCUAACUACGUGCCAGCAGCCGCGGUAAUACGUAGGUGGCAAGCGUUGUCCGGAAUUAUUGGGCGUAAAGCGCGCGCAGGCGGUUUCUUAAGUCUGAUGUGAAAGCCCCCGGCUCAACCGGGGAGGGUCAUUGGAAACUGGGGAACUUGAGUGCAGAAGAGGAGAGUGGAAUUCCACGUGUAGCGGUGAAAUGCGUAGAGAUGUGGAGGAACACCAGUGGCGAAGGCGACUCUCUGGUCUGUAACUGACGCUGAGGCGCGAAAGCGUGGGGAGCGAACAGGAUUAGAUACCCUGGUAGUCCACGCCGUAAACGAUGAGUGCUAAGUGUUAGAGGGUUUCCGCCCUUUAGUGCUGCAGCAAACGCAUUAAGCACUCCGCCUGGGGAGUACGGUCGCAAGACUGAAACUCAAAGGAAUUGACGGGGGCCCGCACAAGCGGUGGAGCAUGUGGUUAAUUCGAAGCAACGCGAAAAACCUUACCAGGUCUUGACUCCUCUGACACCCUAGAAAAGGCUUCCCUUCGGGGCAA